UCUCUCUCUCUCUGACAUACUCGCGCAGAGACAUUCGCUAACAACCCCCCUCCCUCCUUUUUUUCUGCCUCUAACAAGCCUCAUUGCUUUAGACCGAACCGCUUCAGCCCCUGGAUGGCGAUCUCAUGCGAGCCGAGAGCGCAUCAGCUCCAACUUCCCUCGUUCUCUAAACACAUGAAGCCGUCACUUUCACACUUGAUUAAUAGCAAAUGGACUAAGCUGGCUGCCAGAGACCGCUUUGCCAAACACCAGAGGAGAAACGCUACAUGUUCUGCUGCUCUUCCUUUCGUCUUCCAGGUUUUUUUUCCUUUUCUUGCAUUUUUUUUUUUGCGCGCGCAUUUAUCUUGCUUGUUGACAGUACAUACCAUAUUUUUGAGACACUCUACGAAUAACGGGCUAUGGCUCCUUUUCUCUUCUCCUCUCAGUCUGGACCUGCUUCAGCCCCUGGAGGAUUUUAACCCUCCAUUCAACGCCCCAUUGGCCAAUUAUGUUUCCAGCUCCGGUUUGAAGGACGUUACAACCGGCCAAUGCCAGGUCACCUUUACAUAGCGUGCCGGUUGCCUUGGAUACCCGUUCCGGUGACGUCACCGUUCAUUGAUAGUCUAUUAUCGGUGAUAAUUACUUCCUCCUCUUCACCGGCAGGAGUGUGUGCUCAGCUCUGAGGACUCGAGGAGAGCAGGGACGGGGAGAUGGAGCUCGCAUGCGGCUCGGAUGCUGGGACUGAGGUACAAGAUCCACGUUAAAGGUACCAAAGGUAUCCAGUGACAACAAAAGUCUUCAGUGCCUUGGAUUUAUUGUCGUCUCCUCAGAUCAUUUCCAGGACAAAACAGACGCAAGGUGAGGUAUUGUAUUGCCAAGUUAUAAAUAUACGUUCUCAUUACGUGUAUGAUUUGUGAGUAUUAUUACUGUGAAGAUAUGCAUAAAUAAUAUUUUUGUACAUACUACAUACAGUAGAUUAACAUGCAGUACAUACAGUAAAUUAACAUGCAGUGUAAAGUCUGAUAAUAAUAAGAAUAACAAUAUGUUUAUUUCAGUACAAUGUGUUUUACUAUGAAGUGAAAAUGUAUACUUUCUGAAUAUUAGAAAUAUUAUAUGAUCUCUACAGUCUUAGAUAAAAAAAAAUCAAAGCUGAAUGCCAUAAGGCCCAAGGCCUGCCGUUUAAUUAUUAUUAUUUUGUUUUAACCCUCACUCAGUUAAGCCAUAAUCCCUAAUGUGCAAGCACAAUGCUAUUUUCAUUUGCCCUUACUCAGUGGACAAGUGUUAGGCUUGCUAACAAAUUUAAUCCACUCCGUUUCUCCUCAAAAAAAGGCUUCACCUACCAAGGUCAGUUAAAAAAUUUAAAAAUAGGAGCAGAGGUAGACGGAGGUAGACGGAGGUAGAAGGAGGUAGACGGAGGUAGACGGAGGUAGAAGGAGGUAGACGGAGGUAGACGGAGGUAGACUGCUUCCUCUGACUCAGGCUCCUCAUGCCCUCGCUGCAUUUCCCCAGGGCCUCAGGAGGGGAGGCUCACUGUUAGCUGAGUUAAAUGAUCAGAUGAUGGCCCUGUUAUGAGAAUGGAUUCAGGAAUUAGAGAUUUCAGACAAAGAUUGCACGCCUCCCUCUUCUCCUGCCAGCUGGUUAAGAUUAUGAUUGAUUUGUUUGAGAUGGUCUAUAGGAAGCAGGCAUUGAUUUUUUAAAUGAUUUUUCAUCUCCUUCACCCCGAAAAAUAUUUACAGUUGUACCACAGGACCUCAUUUCCACUAGGGCUUUCUCUCUCUCUCUCUCUCUCUCUCUCUCUCUCUCACACACACACACACACCUUUAGAAAAUUAGGAGAUUGAGUCAAUACAGCUGAGUCCAAGACAAGAGAAAUGAUUGGGAAUUGUAUUUUUUAAUGAGUCCAUAUGCUGACUGACUAAAGGUGUAUUAAAUGAGUGUAACAAGAUAGAUAGAUAGAUAGACAGACAGACAGACAGAAAGAAAGAAAGAAAGAAAGAAAGAAAAUAUCACCUAGAAACCAUCUGGAUGGAUGGUUGGAUGGAUGGAUGGAUGAAAAUAAGAAAGAAAGAAAGAAAGAAAGAAGAGAAUGUUUCAAACAGCACCACCUGCUUGGAUUAGUUGCUACUGCCAGAUAUAGAGACAGAUUGAAGGAAGAAAGCAAUCAAGGAAGGAAAUGAAUUAAGAAAUAAAGAACUAAAGAUGUGCAGAUAUUGAGUGUAACAAGACAAAAUGAUUCAAACAGAACCACACAUGGAUGGAUGGAUGAAUGGAUGAUAGAUAGAUAGAUAGAUAGAUAGGUCUAAUCGUACACAGACUAUAGCCAGAAUAAUGGAAGAUAGAAAGGAAGGAAAUGAAGCAGGAUGAAAGAAAGAAAGAAAGAAAGAAAGAAAGAAAGAGCACCACCUGGUUGAACAAGUUGCUACUACCAUCACUUAUACCCAAAACAUCAAACCUCUUUAGCUUCUACAUGAAUAUAAAUAUAUUUCAUCUUGAUUUUAGGUUUCAUAUGAUGUGUUCAAAUAAUUCUGUAUAAUAUUCCUUCAUCAAGGCUUUGCUUGCCCAGAGUAUAAUUUAAGGACACAGAUGACAGUUUAAAAGUGAGUAUAGCAUCAUUUACACACACACACACACACACACACACACACACAGAUCAGUCAUGUUAAAUGGAGUAGAGGACUGCAAAAAUGAGAUUAAAAUUAAUUUUCAACUAAUAUUGUCAUUUCAAAUGUUUUUUUUAGUAUCAUUCAAUAAUCAUAUACCAUCAUAAGUUAAUAAUAUUUAUUUUCUUGUGUCUGUAUAGUGAUUUGGUAUUGUAUGCAGCUUUUAUUUUUUUUUUCUUUUCAGAAGUGUUCUUGUAUUUUCCUUAUAAUGGUGAACUGCUCCAGUGUCUGGGGAGGCAUUCCAACACUAUCUCUGAUUUGUACUAUGUUUCCAUUCAUUUCUUAUGCAUCAUUUCUUAUACAUCACUCUCAACCAUGAUCUCGAGCUUGCACUUUACGUUAUCCAUGUGAAAUAAGUAAGUACAAAGGUCAAUGGGUGGGAUUCGUGUUCAUACCUCUAGCGACAACAUCAUUUGUAUGAAAUCAAAUCAGAUCCAACCACAUCACUCUGGAAAUGUGUACAAAAUUUCCAUGUGAUCAGGUUCAAACUUUCUCCUCUCCUCUUCUCUUCCUACCUGUACUCAAACCCUGAUUGUUUUCUUGUCUCAUUCGUCUGUCAUGUAGCUCUCCACAUUCAGUAAUGAGGAGUAUGUGAAGGACUUAUCCUCCGCUCCUCUCUUCCUGUGUGCUGUUGUUUUGUUUUCUCCUCCAGGCUCUUUGAUGCCAUAUCCUCUUACAUUUCGGUUGCUCCCUGUAGCCAUGUUUUCAAAGAAACAUCCAGCGGAAAACAUCCUCCGCAUUUGAAAUGUAGAUCGCUCACACCAUUCUGCAUACAGCGCAUGCCCUCUCUUGCUUCUCUCCCACGUUCAGCUUUUCAGAUACAUCUGAUACAACAGAACGGCUUCCUGAUGAAGCCCUUGCAUUCUGGAUGUCAGGGAUGAUCUGUACUAACAACAAUGCAGAUGAGGUUUCAACCUCUAUUUGCUCUCUAUCAGGCUGAUGGCAUAGAGGUGAAAGAUAUACAUGUGGUGUUAUGUGCUGCACAGGCAUGAGAGAUCAUACAUCAAACCACGGAAUGUCAUUAGCUGUAGAACAAAAUACCAGGUUUAGAUAUAGAAUUAUAAUUAUCUAAAGCACAAAUGAAUAACUUUAGAGAUUUCUUUAACCUUUUUUUGUGUCAAAUAAAUACACCUUAACUUUCUUAUACAAUCUCAAAUCUUUCAUAGAGAUUUUUCAAGACAAUCAAUGAUCCAGUACUUAUUCUUGCACAAAACGUUUUUAUUAUUAAGAACACUUGAAUUAAACAAGAAAUGUCAGCCAGUUCUUCAUUGGUACAAAGAAAUACACACAGCUGUAAGUUAAAUAUUAAGUAUUGACCCAAUAGUCAAAUGCAAGCUCUUUCAGCGAUGCCUUCAUGAUGAGAUGUUUUGUUUCUCAAGCCUUGUCCUGCAUCACAAGGCAAAUCAAAUCUAGAAUCUAGUUCUGUAAUUUAACAUUUAAGACAAAUAUGAUAUAUACUGUAUGUAUCUGUAAUCAGUGAUGGGGAAAAAAUAGAGCUGUAGUCAAGAUCACCAAUGUCAAAUCCAAGAUCUAGCUGAGAUCGAGUCAAGAUCGAGUCUUAAGGGGAUCGAGACCAAAUCAAGAUCGAGUCCAGAUGAGUCAAGAUUGAGACCAAAAACUAUCAAAUCCUUUUCAAGGCCAAGGCUUUAUUUCAAUGAGGCUUCAUUUGUGCAUUGUGCCAAUGAUUCUCUAGAUGUUUGUGCGUUUAAAUAGAAAAGACAACACUAACAUUAUUCUUACAAACUGUUGGUCAAUUUAAGUCCAAGUACUCUGGAUACGCAAUCCAAUAUAUCCUGAAUGCAAAUAUAAAAAAAAAUAAAUUUUCUAUUAAGAAAAUAUAGGAAUAUAUUUUAAAAGAUGGACAUGAAAUCAGUUGAUUUGUAUAAAGCUACUGCUCUGGUGACUGACAGCUAAUGACAUUAAUUCUAGAUAUUGUUCAGAAUCCACACUACUGAUCUGCACAAACGUCCUUAAGCUUAAAGCUAGCUUUACACUCUAUGAUCUUUGUGCAGAAAAAAAUGGCAGAUUGUAAAAGAAUUCCUUGGUCAUGAGUUGAGAUCAGCAGUCUUAGAAUGCAUAAGGUAGCUUUAUGAUUUUAUGCCACUGCAAAGUUUUUUAACUCUUCAGAUCUAAAAUCCACCAGUAGGAGGAUGGAAUAAGGUGGCGCUAAACUCAUGAGACAGAUACAAAUACAUUAGCGGACGUAAAUACAGAAACGCAACAUGCUAACGGACAGAAAAACAUCCUUAGUGUUUCAAACUCACUUUGUUUUUGCUAAUUGAUGACGUAAGUUUUUGCUAAUUGAUGACGUAAGCAUGUAGAACCUAUAGUUUGAGGAUCUUCAUCAUAGAAUCUGACAUGGAAAAUGUUAUUGCAUGCUCUUAUAGAAUUCAGCAGAGACAUUUCUGGGAUCUAAUACAGUGCGACCAGUGAUCUUAAACCUUAAAACUGACUUUAAUUAAUUAUUCUGGCUUUUAGGUUUCUGAAAUAUUUCUGUACCAGGAAUGCUAUGAGAUCAGAGCAGUCUAGGUAGGAAGCAGGAUGCUGAUCUUCCAGAACUGAAUUAUGAUUUUUUUUUCUCUCAGUCAGUGAAGGUGGAAGUAAGAAGAAUUUGGAAGAUGGAAUAAUGCGCUGCUGUGUUUUUCUGGUGUGUAGGUGUGUGUAUGUGUGUGUGUAUGUGUGUGGAUGUGGGUGUGUGUGGGCAGUGGAGAGAAUUUUUAGCCAUUGCAAUUUGUGUAUUUUUUAAAAAGCUCAAAGCUACUUCCAUACAAAUUACAUCACAUGACCAUAGAAUAAAAAUGACAAGGUAGUGAUUUGUAAUUCAAAUACCACCCAUUUCUUUUUGUAAUGCUUUACACCUGUCCAUGAUUUGGAUAAGAUUCUGCCUCAGGUACUCGGUUGCCUCCACAAGGAUAGGAAUAUGUGAAGAGGUUUUACAUUGUGGAAACUUUUUUGACGAAACUUGGAGGAAAUUGAGGAAACUUUUUUUUUUUUUUUUUUUUUUUACAAAAAUUUCAGCAUUUACUUAAAAAAAAAAAAAAAGAGAGCCAAAAUGUUUCCUUUUGGCUGCUGAGGUCAAGGCUAAGCUUGGAUGUAGGUAUAGGAGAGCAUUAAUUAGCUAUCAAUGGAAGGUCCUUGCAAGUCAAACGUGUGUAUGCAUUUCCACCACCAGACUUUGGGUGCUUGAGGCCCUGUUGUUAUUUCCCAGUGAUCUCCUCUCCUAAUUCUCUCCUCUCUGGCUGCAAGGAUGUAUUUCACCGUGGCAUGCUGAUGUCUACGGGUGUGCUCACCUUUCAGUUCCCAUGAACAUCUGUGACCCAGAGAACCACAGUUCCACCCUGCUAACACAAACAGAGCGGCGAGAUCAAAGGCAGCCGCAGCUCACCUGUGCUUCAGGAGAGAAAGCUGCUUAAACAGCCACGUGACCCGUAAACAGGAGCAAAUUGACAUCUUUGUUCCAAACAGCCUUCGGUCCCUUCGAGCUUCUCCGAUGUCUGCAAAAAGACAGGUUUUCAAUAAGCAAUGCUCAGUUUUGUUUGUUGAUAGUGACUAUAUUCUUGAAGAUAAAAUGAUAGAUUAAUAAAAAUGUAAAUGCUCUGAAAUGUUGAGUCGGCAACAUUUAUUUGCUUGAACGAAUGUUGAUCAAUAUUACAUGCAAAAUGCAGAGUGUAUCAGGAAUAAGUAGCGAAAAAAGGAAAGUGUGUGUGUUUGUGUGUUUGUGUGUGUGUGUGUGUGUGCAGAGUGUGUGCAGUAAUGCAUGUAAUGGUCGAAGCACACACCUCAGUUCUAAUGGCUUAACACUGAAACCCUGCUGGGCCUCCCUGUCUGUCUGCACCCCGUGUGUGUGUGUGAGAGGGAGAGUGAGUGAGUGAGUGAGAGUGUGUGUGUGUGUUAAGGGCUAAAAUUUGGCAAAGAGAGAUCGAGAGAAAUAUGGAGAGAGAGAAAGAGAGAGAGAGAGAGAGAGAGAGGUGUGGCAGAGAGACAGAAAGAUGGAAAGAUGGUGUGCAGGUUUUAUGGCCAGGUCUCUGUCUUCAAGAGAACAUAUUUAAACCAUGUUUUGAAAGGGAAAUCAGGAAUCAUCUUUCUGACGAGGACUGUAAAAACAGCCAUGAGAGGAUCACUGAGUUCAUCCUAAACGAGGAAAGAAAGGAAGUCAAAGAAGAAAAAAGAAAAAAAAAAUUAUGGGGAAAAUUAAGAGAAAAUGAAGAAUUAAGGAAAAUAGGAAAGAAUUCAUGAAAGCUAAAAAAGAAACAACAGAAGAACUUAAAGAAGGAAGAGAAGAUAAAAAAGAAAGAAAGAAAGAACGUUGCAAACAAACAAACAAACAAGAAAGAAAGUUGUAAACAAACAAACAGAGAGAGAGAGAGAGAGAGAGAGAGAAAGAGAGAGAGAGAUAGAUGUCAUGCAUGCCUCUGAUCUGACCAAAUGACAAGAGUGUGUGUAAGAGAGAGUGGGUAAGAGAGAGUGUGUAUAAGUGUAUGUAAAACUGCACAUGUGUGUGUGUGUGUGUGUGUGUGUGUGUGUGCGCGUGUGUGUAGCGGGAUCCUUUGUGUACGUAUCUGCAUGUGUGCAUGUGUGCUCGUCUCUUGUCACACUGCAUGAGUGUGUAUAUACACAGAGUGUUUGUGUGUUUGUUGCUAUUGUCUAAAUUUUGUGUCUCUCAUUUCAGUACUUUCAGUAUUUUAUAUACAAUAUUUUAUAUACAAUAUUGUCGCUCAUCUUUCUGACUCUGUAUUAAAUAUCUGUAAACAAACCCCAGCGCUUGACACGUUCCUGUGUUUGACCUGUGAACUGAAGCAAACAAGUUGUUCACGGCGGAGCUGAUUUACAACGCACCAUCAAAGUUUCUCCAGAGUCUGUCAUUCCAAAUUUACGAGUGACACGCCCCUUUCAGCUUUAUGAAAUAUGAAAAGAUGAAAUUACCAUUAAGUCCUUUGUGCGGAUAUUUUGUUAAAGAUGAAAACGUCACCCCUCCCCCCGUCCACACCACAUACACGCACACACACACACACACAUGCACACACAUACACACACAUACACUCUCUCUCUCUCUCUCUCUCUCUCUUCUCCUACACAAAUUAGCUUUAGUCCUGCAGGGCAAAAUGACAAGAGGUUACUGGAAGACUAUGUGUUUAAUUAAUUGAAAAAUGCUUAAAUUGCUUUUACAGUUGUUAUCAGAGGUGGAAAAAAGAGAGAAGGGAGAGCGUGAGGAAAAAAAAAAAAGGAAUCCAUGUUGCCAGUGCUGGGGCAUAAUUAGCUCCCCAGGGAGACGGAUAUUUAGCUUUAGCAAUGUUGCAGCACUUAGGACACAGAUUUCUAUUUCGGUAAUGAAGGGCCCGGCUUGCCAGGGAGGACAGCUGUAGCUUGGUGUGUGUAAGUGUGUGUUGAAGGGAGGGAGGGGGUUUAU